rnacentral:rRNA from 1 species
CAGCCGCCGCGGUAAUACGUAGGUCCCGAGCGUUGUCCGGAUUUAUUGGGCGUAAAGGGAGCGCAGGCGGUUUAGUAAGUCUGAAGUUAAAGGCUGUGGCUCAACCAUAGUUCGCUUUGGAAACUGUCAAACUUGAGUGCAGAAGGGGAGAGUGGAAUUCCAUGUGUAGCGGUGAAAUGCGUAGAUAUAUGGAGGAACACCGGUGGCGAAAGCGGCUCUCUGGUCUGUAACUGACGCUGAGGCUCGAAAGCGUGGGGAGCGAGCAGGAUUAGAUACCCCGUAGUCCCUGUCUCUUAUACAC